rnacentral:RNase_P_RNA from 1 species
GUAGAGGGAAGCUCAUUGGUAGAGCCAUGAGCUGAGUGCCUUAUAUCACUCUACCCCAUGUUUACUGGGAAGAUCUGAGACUAGGGCCCAAAGCAGCCCUAAUAGGGUUCUCCUUGAGUUAAAAAAAUAUAAAUAAAUAAAUAAAAGGUGGACUUGGGGAAUUUCAGUCUGACUUGUUACUCUCCAAGGUGAGAUCCUUGAUUAUCAUAGCAAGGUGUACUCUUGAUUAUCAUAGCAAGAAGUUGGGCAGACAACCCAAUAGGUGCCUUCUGUACAAUAAGGUGUAAUGUACUGGGUAGUAAAUGAUGUAGGUGGGGGCAAGAGUUUGAUUCAUAUUCAGUCUGCUUUU